rnacentral:rRNA from 1 species
AUUGAACGCUGGCGGCAGGCCUAACACAUGCAAGUCGAACGAAUGGCGGACGGGUGAGUAAUGUCUGGGAAACUGCCUGAUGGAGGCGGAUAACUACUGGAAACGGUAGCUAAUACCGCAUACCCUCCGUUCUGCUCAAAAGGGAUUAGCUAGUUGGGGGGGUAACGGCGCACAAGGGCGACGAUCCCUAGCUGGUCUGAGAGGCUGACCAGCCACACUGGAACUGAGACACGGUCCAGACUCCUACGGGAGGCAGCAGUAGGGAAUAUUGGACAAUGGACGCAAGUCUGAUGCAGCAACGCCGCGUGAGUGAAGAAGGCCUUCGGAUUGUAAAGUACUUUCAGCAGAGAAGCGUUACCCAAAGAGGAAGCACCGGCUAACUACGUGCCAGCCGCCGCGGUAAUUC